CCUACGGGAGGCAGCAGUAGGGAAUUUUCGUCAAUGGGCGCAAGCCUGAACGAGCAAUGCCGCGUGAACGAGGAAGGUCUUCGGAUCGUAAAGUUCUGUUGAAGGGGAAAAAGAGCGGAGAGCGGAAACGCUUUCUGAUUGAUAUUACCCUUCGAGGAAGUCACGGCUAACUACGUGCCAGCAGCCGCGGUAAUACGUAGGUGGCGAGCGUUAUCCGGAAUGGUUGGGCGUAAAGGGUGCGUAGGUUGUUUUUUAAGUCAGCGGUGAAAGUUUGUGGCUCAACCCUAAAAGUGCCGUUGAAACUGGAAGGCUUGAGUGUGUGUGAGGUAGGCGGAAUGCGUGGUGUAGCGGUGAAAUGCAUAGAUAUCACGCAGAACUCCGAUUGCGAAGGCAGCUUACUAAGCCAUAACUGACGCUGAAGCACGAAAGCGUGGGGAUCAAACAGGAUUAGAUACCCUUGUAGUC
rnacentral:rRNA from 1 species